UACAGAGGGUGCAAGCGUUGUUCGGAAUUACUGGGCGUAAAGCGCGCGCAGGCGGGUUUGUAAGUCGGAAGUGAAAUCUCACUGCUCAACGGUGGGGCUGCUUCUGAUACUGCAAAUCUUGAGACCGGUAGAGGUUGGUAGAAUUGCAGGUGUAGCAGUGAAAUGCGUAGAUAUCAGGAGGAAUACCGAUGGCGAAGGCAGGUCUCUGGGCUGACACUGACGCUCAUGCACGAAAGCGUGGGGAGCAAACAGG
rnacentral:rRNA from 1 species